AGAAAAAAUGUUAAUGCUAUAAGUACUUAACCAGAAAAUUCUGUCACCAAGAAUAACAUGUUUCCAACAACUUUAACUCUUACAACUAAUAAGAUCAGGCGAGGGUAGGAAGGACACAUUUCCUGUCUAAUCUGUAAGCAUUCAAUCGUAUUCGUAGCAAAGUAUGGUUUGUUUAUUUUAUCUUACUUAUUUUAUUUUACAGGUAUAUGUAUGAUGUAGAGGUAGGCUUUAUCCUGGGCCUUGAAGGGAGAUUUUGAUCAAGGAAAGCAACGCAGGAAACAGAUUAGAUCUUUCAAGGACACAGGGAUCCAGUUCUGCACAGCUGGGGCUGUGGAGAGAGAGUUUCCCACUUUGCUUCUGUCACAUCUAUACCUGGACUUGAACUUUUACAACGUGAAUCUGUUUGAGGGAAGAUGUUUUCAUUCUCUCAUCGCAAGGGAAAGACAGACGAAGGCAAGGGCCUAAAGAACCUUCCCUGCGGGGACCUGGGAUUCAGAGGCGGGGAUACGGCUGAGCUCCGGACACGCGUGCAGGCCUCUGCCACCUGACAGUGCCGUGUAUGACAUAGGUCAGCGGCAGUCCAACAGACUCAGAAGCCUCGGAGAAGCUCUCUCAAGUUCUAACUAGUGCUCAGAGACCAGGGCUGCAGGGAAGAUUUACCCCUGCCUGCAAUUGACAAAAAUGCAUCAGACAAAAUGCAUCAGACAAAAAUGCAUCACAAAUCCUAGACCCGGGUCACGACACUUCCCAUGCCAGAAAAAGUAAGAGGCCUCUGUAAGGACCAACAACGGGGAGG